rnacentral:rRNA from 1 species
GACGGAAGGUGCAAGCGUUGCUCGGAAUCACUGGGCGUAAAGGGUGCGUAGGCGGCCGCGCAAGUCUGGCGUGAAAGCCCCGGGCUCAGCCCGGGAAGGGCGCUCGAAACGGCGCGGCUCGAGUGCCGGAGGGGAGAGUGGAAUUCAUGGUGUAGCAGUGAAAUGCGUAGAUAUCAUGAGGAAGACCAGUGGCGAAGGCGGAUCUCUGGACAGUUCCUGACACUGAGGCACGAAGGCCAGGGGAGCAAACGGG